GACGAAGGUGGCGAGCGUUGUUCGGAAUCACUGGGCAUAAAGCGCACGUAGGCGGUGCCGUAAGUCGGAUGUGAAAUCCCUCGGCCUAACCGAGGAACUGCGUCCGAUACUGCGGUGCUUGAGGAUCAGAGGGGUGCAUGGAAUUUCCGGUGGAGCGGUGAAAUGCGUUGAUAUCGGAAGGAACUCCGGCGGCGAAAGCGAUGCACUGGCUGAUUUCUGACGCUGAGGUGCAAAAGCCAGGGGAGCAAACGGG
rnacentral:rRNA from 1 species